rnacentral:rRNA from 1 species
GCAAGUCUCACGAGAACGGGUCUUAGCUUGCUAAGAUUGUCAGCUAAGUGGCGCACGGGUGAGUAAUAUAUAGUUAACCUGCCCUAGAGAGAGGGAUAACGUUUGGAAACGGACGCUAAUACCUUAUAUGCCUUUAAGUCAAAAGACUGCAAGGGAAACAUUUAUGGCUCUAGGAUGGGACUGUACGGUAGCAGUGAGUUGGUGAGGUAAUGGAUCACAAAGACAAUGACACCUAGCUGGUUUGAGAGGAUGAUC